rnacentral:rRNA from 1 species
GUAGGGCGGGACACGUGGUAUCCUGUCUGAAUAUGGGGGGACCAUCCUCCAAGGCUAAAUACUCCUGACUGACCGAUAGUGAACCAGUACCGUGAGGGAAAGGCGAAAAGAACCCCGGCGAGGGGAGUGAAAAAGAACCUGAAACCGUGUACGUACAAGCAGUGGGAGCACAGAGCAAUCUGUGUGACUGCGUACCUUUUGUAUAAUGGGUCAGCGACUUAUAUUCUGUAGCAAGGUUAACCGAAUAGGGGAGCCGAAGGGAAACCGAGUCUUAACUGGGCGUUAAGUUGCAGGGUAUAGACCCGAAACCCGGUGAUCUAGCCAUGGGCAGGUUGAAGGUUGGGUAACACUAACUGGAGGACCGAACCGACUAAUGUUGAAAAAUUAGCGGAUGACUUGUGGCUGGGGGUGAAAGGCCAAUCAAACCGGGAGAUAGCUGGUUCUCCCCGAAAGCUAUUUAGGUAGCGCCUCGUGAAUUCAUCUCCGGGGGUAGAGCACUGUUUCGGCAAGGGGGUCAUCCCGACUUACCAACCCGAUGCAAACUGCGAAUACCGGAGAAUGUUAUCACGGGAGACACACGGCGGGUGCUAACGUCCGUCGUGAAGAGGGAAACAACCCAGACCGCCAGCUAAGGUCCCAAAGUCAUGGUUAAGUGGGAAACGAUGUGGGAAGGCCCAGACAGCCAGGAUGUUGGCUUAGAAGCAGCCAUCAUUUAAAGAAAGCGUAAUAGCUCACUGGUCGAGUCGGCCUGCGCGGAAGAUGUAACGGGGCUAAACCAUGCACCGAAGCUGCGGCAGCGACGCUUAUGCGUUGUUGGGUAGGGGAGCGUUCUGUAAGCCUGCGAAGGUGUGCUGUGAGGCAUGCUGGAGGUAUCAGAAGUGCGAAUGCUGACAUAAGUAACGAUAAAGCGGGUGAAAAGCCCGCUCGCCGGAAGACCAAGGGUUCCUGUCCAACGUUAAUCGGGGCAGGGUGAGUCGACCCCUAAGGCGAGGCCGAAAGGCGUAGUCGAUGGGAAACAGGUUAAUAUUCCUGUACUUGGUGUUACUGCGAAGGGGGGACGGAGAAGGCUAUGUUGGCCGGGCGACGGUUGUCCCGGUUUAAGCGUGUAGGCUGGUUUUCCAGGCAAAUCCGGAAAAUCAAGGCUGAGGCGUGAUGACGAGGCACUACGGUGCUGAAGCAACAAAUGCCCUGCUUCCAGGAAAAGCCUCUAAGCAUCAGGUAACAUCAAAUCGUACCCCAAACCGACACAGGUGGUCAGGUAGAGAAUACCAAGGCGCUUGAGAGAACUCGGGUGAAGGAACUAGGCAAAAUGGUGCCGUAACUUCGGGAGAAGGCACGCUGAUAUGUAGGUGAAGCGACUUGCUCGUGGAGCUGAAAUCAGUCGAAGAUACCAGCUGGCUGCAACUGUUUAUUAAAAACACAGCACUGUGCAAACACGAAAGUGGACGUAUACGGUGUGACGCCUGCCCGGUGCCGGAAGGUUAAUUGAUGGGGUCAGCGCAAGCGAAGCUCUUGAUCGAAGCCCCGGUAAACGGCGGCCGUAACUAUAACGGUCCUAAGGUAGCGAAAUUCCUUGUCGGGUAAGUUCCGACCUGCACGAAUGGCGUAAUGAUGGCCAGGCUGUCUCCACCCGAGACUCAGUGAAAUUGAACUCGCUGUGAAGAUGCAGUGUACCCGCGGCAAGACGGAAAGACCCCGUGAACCUUUACUAUAGCUUGACACUGAACAUUGAGCCUUGAUGUGUAGGAUAGGUGGGAGGCUUUGAAGUGUGGACGCCAGUCUGCAUGGAGCCGACCUUGAAAUACCACCCUUUAAUGUUUGAUGUUCUAACGUGGACCCGUAAUCCGGGUUGCGGACAGUGUCUGGUGGGUAGUUUGACUGGGGCGGUCUCCUCCUAAAGAGUAACGGAGGAGCACGAAGGUUGGCUAAUCCUGGUCGGACAUCAGGAGGUUAGUGCAAUGGCAUAAGCCAGCUUGACUGCGAGCGUGACGGCGCGAGCAGGUGCGAAAGCAGGUCAUAGUGAUCCGGUGGUUCUGAAUGGAAGGGCCAUCGCUCAACGGAUAAAAGGUACUCCGGGGAUAACAGGCUGAUACCGCCCAAGAGUUCAUAUCGACGGCGGUGUUUGGCACCUCGAUGUCGGCUCAUCACAUCCUGGGGCUGAAGUAGGUCCCAAGGGUAUGGCUGUUCGCCAUUUAAAGUGGUACGCGAGCUGGGUUUAGAACGUCGUGAGACAGUUCGGUCCCUAUCUGCCGUGGGCGCUGGAGAACUGAGGGGGGCUGCUCCUAGUACGAGAGGACCGGAGUGGACGCAUCACUGGUGUUCGGGUUGUCAUGCCAAUGGCACUGCCCGGUAGCUAAAUGCGGAAGAGAUAAGUGCUGAAAGCAUCUAAGCACGAAACUUGCCCCGAGAUGAGUUCUCCCUGACUCCUUGAGAGUCCUGAAGGAACGUUGAAGACGACGACGUUGAUAGGCCGGGUGUGUAAGCGCAGCGAUGCGUUGAGCUAACCGGUACUAAUGAACCGUGAGG